UCUACGGGUGGCUGCAGUGGGGAAUAUUGGACAAUGGGCGAAAGCCUGAUCCAGCCAUGCCGCGUGUGUGAAGAAGGCCUUCGGGUUGUAAAGCACUUUCAGUGGGGAAGAAAGCCUUGGGGCUAAUACCCUCGAGGAAGGACAUCACCCACAGAAGAAGCACCGGCUAACUCCGUGCCAGCAGCCGCGGUAAUACGGAGGGUGCGAGCGUUAAUCGGAAUUACUGGGCGUAAAGCGCGCGUAGGCGGUCUGAUAAGCCGGUUGUGAAAGCCCCGGGCUCAACCUGGGAACGGCAUCCGGAACUGGCAGGCUAGAGUGCAGGAGAGGAAGGUAGAAUUCCCGGUGUAGCGGUGAAAUGCGUAGAGAUCGGGAGGAAUACCAGUGGCGAAUGCGGCCUUCUGGACUGACACUGACGCUGAGGUGCGAAAGCGUGGGUAGCAAACAGGAUUAGAUACCCGGGUAGUC
rnacentral:rRNA from 1 species